ACUCGAGUGGCGAACGGGUGAGUAACACGUGGGUGGUCUGCCCUGCACUUCGGGAUAAGCUUGGGAAACUGGGUCUAAUACCGGAUAGGAGCCAUCUUUAGUGUGGUGGUUGGAAAGUUUUUUCGGUGUAGGAUGAGCUCGCGGCCUAUCAGCUUGUUGGUGGGGUAAUGGCCUACCAAGGCGGCGACGGGUAGCCGGCCUGAGAGGGUGUACGGCCACAUUGGGACUGAGAUACGGCCCAG
rnacentral:rRNA from 1 species